GGGGCGGUGGCGGAACGGUAGACGCUGCGGACUUAAAAUCCGUUGGAGUGAAUUCUCCGUGUGGGUUCGAAUCCCACCCGCCCCA
rnacentral:tRNA from 1 species